rnacentral:lncRNA from 1 species
AAAUUUGAAAAAAAACAAUAGGCAGGACAGAUGUUUUGAUUAAAAAAAGGCAGGAUGAGACACUUUGCCCAAAAAAGCCAGGAUGAAAACUUUGGUAAAAAAAAAGUCAUGAUAAAAUAAUAAAAAAGGGCAGGACUGAAUACAGUGAUUAAUAAAAAGGCAGGAAAGAGAUUAUAACUAAAAAGAAAGGCAGGACAACAUUUUUUUAUCCUCCACACCCC